AUAAACUUUGCAUUUACACUAGCCUUCUCAUAUUAAAAAUCUUCGAAAUCUCCCUCUAACAUCUUAACAUACGAUUUUGGUUGUGUGGGAGAGAGAGAUGGACGCCCUUGACAACGUGGUAGAUCCUCUGAGAGACUUCGCCAAGGACAGCGUCCGCCUCGUCAAGCGUUGUCACAAGCCCGAUCAGUUCACGAAGGUGGCUUUCCGUACAGCGAUCGGUUUCGUAGUGAUGGGAUUCGUCGGAUUCUUCGUCAAGCUCAUCUUUAUUCCUAUUAACAACAUCAUCGUUGGCUCCGCUUAGGAAUUGCAGGCUCGUAGAAAUUGGUGGGGGAUAUGACCAGUUGGCGUAGUUGCAGAUUCUCAUAGAAAAUGAAUGUUAGAAUGCAGCAGUUGGGGGCUGUCCCUCUUCCCUUCUCAUUUUACAUUUUAUUAGUUGAACCAAUAGUCUUGAAUCUAAAGUAAACUCUCUUGGAAUUUCUUUAAGCAAUUUGUAAUAGAUUAUGGUUAAUUUUUGCAUCGACUUUUGCCGUCUUCUUUUUUUUGUGCAAUUCUUAUUAACCUUCGACUAUACUGCACUCAUUUGCUGUCAUUCACAUGAUUUCUUUGAAGAAACCAUGGUAAGAUGAAUACCUUUUUGAUACUUUAAUUUCCCAAAUGGGGAAAAUGAAAGUUUUUGUACAUUUGAAGUUGGCUUUUGACAUAUUUAGCCGAAGACUCGAGUGAAUGUGAAAACCCAUGAUGAAAUUUCUUGUAUUGCAGCCAUUCCAGGGUCAAACUCUCAACGUAAUUUUUCAUUUUGUAGUGGCAUUAAUCGCUUCUUUUCAAAGUAUAAUCCAGUCAAAGCUCAAGAUUCACUUUUAAUUUGAACCCUUCCAUAUUCACUUCAAAAAUUGAGUUUGCUU